rnacentral:tRNA from 1 species
GGGCGUGUGGCCUAGCCUGGAUAAGGCACCGGCCUUCUAAGUCGGUAACCGCGGGUUCGAAUCCCGCCACGUCCGC